rnacentral:rRNA from 1 species
GCUUACGGCCACACCGCCUGGUUCACGUCCGAUCUCGGAAGCUAAAAUAGGUUGGGCCUGGUUAGUACUUGCAUGGGAGACUGCCUGGGAAUACCAGGUGCUGUAAGCU